rnacentral:rRNA from 1 species
UAGCUCCUACGGGGGGCAGCAGUAGGGAAUCUUCCACAAUGGGCGAAAGCCUGAUGGAGCAACGCCGCGUGGGUGAAGAAGGUCUUCGGAUCGUAAAACCCUGUUGUUAGAGAAGAAAGUGCGUGAGAGUAACUGUUCACGUUUCGACGGUAUCUAACCAGAAAGCCACGGCUAACUACGUGCCAGCAGCCGCGGUAAUACGUAGGUGGCAAGCGUUAUCCGGAUUUAUUGGGCGUAAAGGGAACGCAGGCGGUCUUUUAAGUUUGAUGUGAAAGCCUUCGGUUUAACCGAGG